UACAGAGGAUGCAAGCGUUAUCCGGAAUGAUUGGGCGUAAAGCGUCUGUAGGUGGCUUUUUAAGUCCGCCGUCAAAUCCCAGGGCUCAACUCUGGACAGGCGGUGGAAACUACCAAGCUGGAGUACGGUAGGGGCAGAGGGAAUUUCCGGUGGAGCGGUGAAAUGCGCAGAUAUCAGGAGGAACACCGAUGGCGAAGGCAGGUCUCUGGGCCGAUACUGACGCUGAGGAGCGAAAGCGUGGGGAGCGAACAGG
rnacentral:rRNA from 1 species